rnacentral:rRNA from 1 species
GGGUCAGUAGGUUGGUCGUGCUACCGGUACGUACUGGUCUCACUGAUUCCUCCUUCCUGAAGAACCGUAAUGCCAUUAAUUUGGUGUUGCGGGGAAACAGGACUGUUACUUUGAAAAAAUUAGAGUGUUUAAAACAAGCUAACGCUUGAAUACAUUAGCAUGGAAUAAUGAAAUAGGACGAUCGAUCCUAUUUUGUUGGUUUCUAGGAUUGACGUA